rnacentral:lncRNA from 1 species
CCCCCCCCCCCCCGGCGGGGUACACCAGCCCUCUCCCCCACCUCGGCCUCCAGCCAGCCGCCGCCCGGUCUCCAGCCGCCAACUCGGUCUCCAACAGCCGAAACUCGGUCUUCAGCCGCCGCUCCGUCUCCAGCAACCGCAGCUCCAUCUCAGCACCGGAAUCCCCCGGAAGCCGGUCAAUACUGGGAUUGGUUUCCGGCUUGGUCUACAAGCGUAAUCCGGUGACUUCUAACCUUUGUUAUUUCGUUAUUUCAAUAUUUCAUUUUAUUUCAUUAUUUCAUAUUUCAUUCUUCGUAUUAUGCUAGUAGUAGCCCCUGUACCUUGACUUGCGUGGGAUUUGUGGAUAUUCUCUGUUGUCUGUUGUUGCUGUUGCUGUGGUCGUUUCUUGCACUGCUUUGGAUUGGGUUGUCGGCUGGGAAUCUGUAUUUGGGGUUGUGGGUGUUGAGUCCAGUGGGGUUUGCCCCCUAAUUGAGUAUAGUUUUGUUUCGGGAGUAUUUCUUUGAAUUUGUGUGAGCCUUGUAUUUCCUUGCUGCUGCUUUGAUACUACCACNNNN